rnacentral:rRNA from 1 species
UCGGGAAUUUUGGGCAAUGGGGGAAACCCUGACCCAGCAACGCCGCGUGAAGGAUGAAGUAUUUCGGUAUGUAAACUUCGAAAGAAUAGGAAGAAUAAAUGACGGUACUAUUUAUAAGGUCCGGCUAACUACGUGCCAGCAGCCGCGGUAAUACGUAGGGACCAAGCGUUGUUCGGAUUUACUGGGCGUAAAGGGCGCGUAGGCGGCAAUUCAAGUCAUCUGUGAAAUCUCCGGGCUUAACUCGGAACGGUCAGAUGAUACUGCUUUGCUAGAGUGCAGAAGGGGCAAUCGGAAUUCUUGGUGUAGCGGUGAAAUGCGUAGAUAUCAAGAGGAACACCUGAGGUGAAGACGGGUUGCUGGGCUGACACUGACGCUGAGGCGCGAAAGCCAGGGGAGCAAACGGGAUUAGAUACCCUGGUAGUCCCUGAGCGGGCUGGCAAGGCGCAU